rnacentral:misc_RNA from 1 species
GCUUACCAUUACAAGUUCAUAUUAUUCAAUAACCAUUUACUUCCUUAAACAUAUUCAUAUUCAAACACAACUUAAAAAACAUUAUACAAAUUGCAACGCAAAAAGUUACUAAAAUACUGAUGAGAGGGAGAGAGAAAGAUAAAGUGCAAAUGGAAGGAAAGGGGGUGGGUUAGGGUUUCAGUAUUUCCACGAGGGCAAUUUGGAUAUUUCACUCUCCUCUAAUGGCUCAAAUGGAUGGAGGGAUUAAGUUUUAGACAGCAGAAAACCUCAGAGACAUAACCAUUCGAUUUUAAAAAUAGAGGGACAAAAGUAUUAAUUACGCCAUACCCCUGAAAAUAAAAGGUAAUUUUUCUUUUCUUUUUUUCUGAUUAUUUUCCUUUCUCACUCAAAUGAUAAAAUUAAAAUGCUGGGUUUGAUUUUUUUUUCCUAAAAUAAAAUGUUGGAAACAACAAAUUGCAUACAUGCUAACUUUUUUUUUUUUAUUAUUGGAUUUGGAAUGUAUGUAUGCCGGUGCCUGCUACAACAAGUGUCAACCAUUGACCAAAAUCUCAUUUCAAUAUGAGUUUUAGGAGUAGUAACUCAGAGUUGUGAUCUUAAUCAGUAAGAAUGAAGGGGAACAAUAAUUAGUAAGGGGAAAACAUCAUAUGAUUAGUACAAGAAUUUAUGUGAGCUUGCUGUAAAAACUCAAGAAUUUCAACUUGGAUAACUGAUUAACAUGUUGAUGUGAGAAAUUAAGAGGAAAAGAAGAGAGAGAACACAACCUUGGCUGAGUAGUUUUUCGAAUCAAUGAACAUGUAUAUGGAUACCAAUUGCAAUGAUCAAGAUGGUGAUUAUGCAGAAGUAUAUUACAGCAUGAACUAGAAUGGCGAUCCCACUUGUGUGCAUGCUCCCAAAUUCUACCACCCUUAUCCUUGCUGGUAUCUGGAAUAAUAGCCCUGGUGAUAGCAGGAUGAACAAAAUUACUGCUACUACAACUGGUCCCCAAUCUGCACUCAUCUUUCUCUCUUUCGGAUGGAGAUUUGGAAUUCUUGGAAUCUCUCUUCAAGAAUACAUUAGAAAAGACAGGGUUGUGCAUUCAAAUAUGUAGGAGCACUUGCAAGGGGAAUGAGUAAUUUUCUUGUUGAUUAAGGAGAUGUGGAUGCGAAACUUAGUGACAAAGAAGAGGGUAGAUUUAGAGGGGAGGAAACGUAUGCGUCUGUUGUGGGUUUCCUUUAUGGUUAUGGGAAGAAAGAAGCCAACUUUGCGUUCACUAACUACAAAUAAUUGCUCACUAGGCUGCUUU